GUGCCUCUAGCUCAAUUGGCAGAGCACCCGGCUCCAACCCGGGAGGUUGCAGGUUCGAUCCCUGCGGGGCCCG
rnacentral:tRNA from 1 species